GGGGGGCUUAUGUAGUAUGAGUGGGAGGCCGAUCAGUCGGUCCGCAUUGAAGGGCAACAGGAGACUGGUCGGUUGGCGUCGAAGGAAUGAGGAAGGGGAGGAGGGGUGAAGGACCAUGGAAAGCAGUGUUGAAAAGUAAUUAAUGGCCUUAAUGGAAAAAUAUUACCGAAAAGGAAACAAAAGAUAUGACAGUUACAGGCAGUUAAUGCCAAUUAUUGGGCCUAAUGCCUAUAAAUACAAACCUAACAACCAGGUAAUUUACUUUUGAUCCAAUUAUAU
rnacentral:lncRNA from 1 species